GAUGAACGCUAGCUACAGGCUUAACACAUGCAAGUCGAGGGGUCUGCUUCGGCAGACGACCGGCGCACGGGUGAGUAACGCGUAUCCAACCUGCCCUUCAUAUUGGUAUAGCCUCCCGAAAGGGAGAUUAAUCCCCGAAUAACAUACCAAAGUUGCCUGAUUUUGGUAUGAAAGCUCCGGCGAUGAAGGAUGGGGAUGCGUUCCAUUAGGUAGUAGGCGGGGUAACGGCCCACCUAGCCGACGAUGGAUAGGGGUUCUGAGAGGAAGGUCCCCCACAUUGGAACUGAGACACGGUCCAAACUCCUACGGGAGGCAGCAGCGAGGAAUAUUGGUCAAUGGACGGAAGUCUGAACCAGCCAAGUCGCGUGAAGGAUGAAGGUUCUAUGGAUUGUAAACUUCUUUUGUCUGAGGGUAAAAAAGCGGACGUGUCCGUUCUUGCAAGUAUCAGACGAAUAAGCAUCGGCUAACUCCGUG
rnacentral:rRNA from 1 species